rnacentral:rRNA from 1 species
AUUGAACGCUGGCGGCAGGCCUAACACAUGCAAGUCGAACGAGCGGCGGACGGGUGAGUAAUGUCUGGGAAACUGCCCGAUGGAGGGGGAUAACUACUGGAAACGGUAGCUAAUACCGCAUACCAUCGGAUGUGCCCAGCUGGGAUUAGCUAGUAGGUGGGGUAAAGGCUCACCUAGGCGACGAUCCCUAGCUGGUCUGAGAGGAUGACCAGCCACACUGGAACGGAGACACGGUCCAGACUCCGACGGGAGGCAGCAGUGGGGAAUAUUGCACAAUGGGCGCAAGCCUGAUGCAGCCAUGCCGCGUGUGUGAAGAAGGCCUUCGGGUUGUAAAGCACUUUCAGCGGGGAGGCGUUACCCGCAGAAGAAGCACCGGCUAACUCCGUGCCAGCAGCCGCGGUAAUAC